AUACGGAGGAUGCGAGCGUUAUCCGGAUUUAUUGGGGUUAAAGGGUGCGUAGGCGGGCUGUUAAGCGUGAGGUGAAAGCUCGGGGCUCAACCCCGGAACUGCCUCUCGAACUGGCGGUAUUGAAUUUUCGUGGCGUGGGGGGAAUGGGUGGUGUAGUGGUGAAAUGCAUAGAUAUUAUUAAGAACUCCGAUUGCGAAGGCAUCUCACGAACGGAUGAUUGACGCUCAGGCACGAAAGCGUGGGGAGCGAACAGAAUUAGAUACCCUGGUAUUCCACGCCGUAAACGAUGAUGACUAACCGUCGGCGAUAGACAGCCGGUGGCCAAGCGAAAGCGAUAAGUCAUCCACCUGGGGAGUACGUCGGCAACGAUGAAACUCAAAGGAAUUGGCGGGG
rnacentral:rRNA from 1 species